GAUGAAGAACGUAGUGAAAUGCGAUAAGUAAUGUGAAUUGCAGAAUUCAGAGAAUCAUCGAAUCUUUGAACGCACAUUGCGCCCGCCAGUAUUCUGGCGGGCAUGCCUGUUCGAGCGUCAUUUCAACCCUCAAGACCCCUUCGGGGGACUUGGUGUUGGGGACCGGCACAGGGGCCUGCCUGCUUGUCUUGCAGCGCCCUCGCCGCCCCCGAAAUGAAUUGGCGGCCUCGUCGCGGCCUCCCCUGCGUAGUAGCACAACCUCGCAACGGGAACGUGACGGCGGCCACUGCCGUAAAACAACCCCAAUUUUAUUAGAGUUGACCUCGAAUCAGGUAGGAAUACCCGCUGAACUUAAGCAUAUCAAUAAGCGGAGGA
rnacentral:misc_RNA from 1 species